CUCAUAGCGUAUAUUAAGUUGUUGCAGUUAAAAAGCUCGUAGUUGGACCUUGGACCUGGACAGGCGGUCCGCCUCACGGCGAGUACUGUCUUGCUGGGUCUUUCCUCUUGGUGAUCUGUUGUUUCGGCAGCAGGGAACCAGGACCUUUACUUUGAAAAAAUUAGAGUGUUCAAAGCAGGCUCGACGCCGGAAUAUAUUAGCAUGGAAUAAUAAAAUAGGACGUGCGGUUCUAUUUUGUUGGUUUUUGGAAUCGCCGUAAUGAUUAAUAGGGACAGUCGGGGGCAUUAGUACUCACAUGCUAGAGGUGAAAUUCUUGGAUUUUGUGAAGACUAACUUCUGCGAAAGCAUUUGCCAAGGAUGUUUUCAUUAAUCAAGAACGAAGGUUAGGGUAUCGAAAACGAUUAGAUACCGUUGUAGUCUUAACAGUAAACUAUGCCGACUAGGGAUCGGUCGAUGUUAUCUUUUUGACUCGAUCGGCACCUUACGAGAAAUCAAAGUUUUUGGGUUCUGGGGGGAGUAUGGUCGCAAGGCUGAAACUUAAAGAAAUUGACGGAAG
rnacentral:rRNA from 1 species